CGUAGGUGCAAGCGUUAAUCGGAAUUACUGGGCGUAAAGCGUGCGCAGGCGGUUGUGUAAGUCAGAUGUGAAAUCCCCGGGCUCAACCUGGGAAUUGCAUUUGAGACUGCACGGCUAGAGUGUGUCAGAGGGGGUAGAAUUCCACGUGUAGCAGUGAAAUGCGUAGAUAUGUGGAGGAAUACCGAUGGCGAAGGCAGCCCCCUGGGAUAACACUGACGCUCAUGCACGAAAGCGUGGGAGCAAACAGGAUU
rnacentral:rRNA from 1 species